rnacentral:lncRNA from 1 species
GAAGAUCUCUUCUUACACACUGAGUCCUUGUGAUGCAUCUGGGGGCUCGGGGAGAGAUGGGGAGAGGGGCAGUGUGCCGUCCCGGGUAACAGGCCGGGGUGGAGGGACAAGAAUCUACGUAUGCGAUGGCUUCUGUACUUCGGAGCCCCACCCUCCUGCACCAGGCCGUACUGCCCAUGAAGUACUCCAUUGGGGCAUCACGCGUUGCACUGGCAGCUUCUCUUUGAAACCCAGGUCCACCCGGAAGGGGCAGGGAAGCGUGCAGCCUCUGGCGGGCACUUAUUUAGAAGGCUCCUUUCUUUGUCAUGGACGAGAACUGGUGGCCUGGAGGGUACAGGUUGUCUGGGAAGGCGACAAGGGACAGUGCCUGGUGUGUCCUGGGGCACAGGGCAGGGCUGGGGGUCCUCUUAGGCUGGGGCUGACCCCCACUCCCAUGGGUCUCCAUGGAUCUCAUUGACUGGGAACUUUUCCAUGCCCUUUGGGAAGUCCCACCCAAGCCCUGCCAGAG